rnacentral:rRNA from 1 species
CGUAGGUCCCGAGCGUUGUCCGGAUUUAUUGGGCGUAAAGCGAGCGCAGGUGGUUUAUUAAGUCUGGUGUAAAAGGCAGUGGCUCAACCAUUGUAUGCAUUGGAAACUGGUAGACUUGAGUGCAGGAGAGGAGAGUGGAAUUCCAUGUGUAGCGGUGAAAUGCGUAGAUAUAUGGAGGAACACCGGUGGCGAAAGCGGCUCUCUGGCCUGUAACUGACACUGAGGCUCGAAAGCGUGGGAGCAAACAGGAUU